rnacentral:miRNA from 1 species
CAGCAUAUGGAACACUGUAAAGUGCUGUGUCACAGGCACUGACUUUUCAAAGUCCAGUAAGUUAGUCUAAGAGGUCAGUGGGCAAUACUAUGCUAUGUUCUGGCCCUGUGUUU